AAGGAAAAAAAAAGAAAUGCAAAUGGACGAUAUAAAAUACCCAUGUCCCAAAACCCUGAUAUGUAAAAACAGCUCUGGCUUGAAGAAAACAAACCCAGACAUAAUCAAGAAGGAUGAGCGGCACAUCUAGAAGGAGGAAAACAAUGGGCGGCCCAAACAAGAUAGUAUAAAGCAAAGUUUGUAACAAGAUGUUGGAAAUGCAAAUAAUAUAAAGGAGGGUUUGUAAUAGCUUUUUCACAAAGUCAAGCUAAAAAGAUGUACAAUGAAAGAGUGAAAAUCAAGAAGAUGAAGACUUGUGACAUUUGUGUUGAGUGUUGGCAGGACAAUGUAUUGGCAUAUGGAUUGGUGUCUUGACGGUGUAUUGAUGUGUGGCAUGCCAAAUAAGAAAUACUAAAUUAUUUUGGUGUAA